UACCCCAAAACCCUAGAGGUGUGAGGGCCACUGAAAAGCCCUAUUUUCCCAAAUCCAAUUUACCAAAUCCAUUGUUCCUCUUUCCUAAAACCCUUCCUGCUAGUCGUGCGUGUCAUUCAAACCCCCUUAUCUCAAAUCGACGUUGUUUAAGAAGACUUCAAAUUGUCGAGAAGUGGCAUAUGUUGUUUCCUUGGUUUCCUCUCAGAUUCGUAACUUGGCACUAGAAAUUAAGAAGACUACAUCAAGCAACAAGAUAUGACGUUACACUGUAUGCGCAAGUGAAGUUGUGACGUUCGUCAUAAAAAAGCCAAAAAUCAAGACAAUCAUUUUGGAAUGUGGUUGAAAAGUAGCGACUGAUUUUUCAAAUUUCAGAAUUUCUCAAGCUUGUUCCAUUUCUUCUGCAAUUAGGAUUUGGGACAAGGUUCUUUGAUGAUGGAGAAGUGUUGAUAAGGAGCUUGAAGAUAUUAUGAUUUUUUGUAGUUGAGAAAUAUUUUUGACGUUGCUUCCAUAAUAAAAAAAAAAUGGACAAGUAUAAUAUUAUAUUAUUGCAGCAAU